UAUCUCUCUCUCUCCCUCUCUCUCUCUCCUUCGCGUACGCCUCGAGCUAUCUCUUUCUUCUCUCGCGCUACCAUAUCUCUAUUUCAUGCUAUCUUUCUUCUUACGCGCCGUCUCCUUUCUUGGCAUGCAUCCCGAGCUAUCUCUUUCUUCUCUCGCGCCGUCUGUCUUCUUUGCGUGCACCUCGAACUAUUUCUUAUGACAUACGGAAGGGAAUUUCGACGGCGCCAACGUUCGGCUGCUUGAAUUUGUAAACAGGUAGAGCCCGAUUUUAUCACUAUGAUAGUCCAUUGUGGAGAUUUUUUGAGUUGAAACUUAUGGAGAGCGGGUCCACGAUGUCAUAAGGUUUACGAUAUCUGUGGAGUGAUGAAGUGCCAAAAAGAUGACUGGAGGAUAUCUGCGCUGUAUGCUCUCCAAAAUAACGAUCGCCACAAUCGUGCAAAAUGAGGAGCCGGAAACUCUACUGAUUUUUUCAGAGUGAGCACAGGCUCACAAAGCGAGAGAAGGUGCGGAUUGUGAGGGCGGAACAGCGUCGAUUUCUAAACGUCCUGUGGGGUGACACGGACGAAUUAUGAGAAUGGGAGAUAUACAACCCGUGGAUAUAGUUUGAUCCAUUCGAUCUAACCUAUUUGUUUAAAACAACUGAUAAUAACCCGUAUCCACCUGAACCUGAGGUGGAAAAUUGGAACGAAAAAUUGUCGGACGUGUCAAUAACGCGAUAUCCACCACCGCCGCCGCCGCCGCCGUCACCGCCGCAAUCGCCGUCCCCGCAAUCAUCUCUUUUAUAAAAAAUAAGUUUUUUUUAUUU